CAUGGCGUAGUGGUCACUGCGCUCGCCUUGCACGCGGGAGACCUGGGUUCGAUUCCCGGCGGGGUCA
rnacentral:tRNA from 1 species